GAGCGAAACCGCCCGGCCUGGCCGGACGGUCUGCCGGACGUGGUGGUCCGGUACUGAUGAGCAGCCACCC
rnacentral:hammerhead_ribozyme from 1 species